rnacentral:tRNA from 2 species
GGUGGGGCUGGGCACAGGUGAGCCCACCCGGCUGUAACCCGGACGCCCUUCGGCGGCUUUGACGGUUCGACUCCGUCCCCCACCA